UUUUUUUUUUUGGUAUUUUAGGUUUCUAUUGUUUUGGUUUUUCCAUUUAUUUUUUUAGUGUUCGAAAAAAAUUAACUAAAAAAAAGUUGGAUAUUUGAAUUUGACUUUUCACUUUUUAUUUGUCGUGGAUGGAUGUCAGCUUUCAUACAUGAAUUUUUUUUUUUUGUGACUGAAAUUUGAAUAUGUGGGUUGUGAAUUGGUGGAAUUGUUGUUUGGGUUUUGAUAUAGAUUUUGUCCUCAGAGUAUUACAUCUUCUAUUGUUCUUCAUUGAUAAUUAUUGAAUUCCUUUUAAUUGGGUUAUUAGUGUUAAAACUCUUAGCAAUUAUUAUGCUAUCAAUAAGCUUUUCCCUUUAUCAAUAAGCUUCUUAGGUUCAAAUUUUUUGAACUUUUCAUCAAAGCAAAAUUUUUUCUUCUCAUAACAAUGUACACUUCACUUGUAGCUUUAAGAAAGCCUUUUUUGCAUUGUAUUGGGG
rnacentral:lncRNA from 1 species